rnacentral:misc_RNA from 1 species
GUAAAGUCGAUGACCUGUAGACUGUAUGACCUAACAUGAAACUGACCCAUUUUUCGUUGGGCUGAUCAAUCUGAAUUUUGAUCUGAAAAUUAAAUUAAUAAAAAUUAUUAUUUCUGUUAAAAUUAAUAUUUUGACCCAAGAUGAUUUGCAACCUGUGAAAUGCUUUCUACACAGCGUUCUGAUUGGUAAUGUGAAUCAAUUUGCAAACCGAAAAUGACCUGACCCAUAUGCUCUACUCCCUAAUUGUUAAAAGUUACUACUUUAAAAUUACACACAAA